UUACAGAACAGGCAAAGGUUGGACCUCCUCUUCAUGAGAGAGGAGGCCCUUUGUGCUGCAUUGAGGAAAAAAUGUUGUUUUCAUGCCUACCAUACUGGAGUUGUAAAAAAUCUAUGAAUAAAUUAAAAAGACACCUUGAAGAGUGUCAAUGAGAGAGAGAGACCCAAAAAGGGUGGUAUGAGUCUUGGUUCACACAGUCCCCUGGUUAACUACGCUUUUAUCAGCCCUGGCCGGUCCAUUAAUAAUCCUCAUAUUAUUGCUAACUGUAAGACCAUGUUUUCUCAACCGUGUAAUUUCUUUUCUCCAAGCUCAAAUUAGACAAGUUAAACUUAUGGUAAUCAGACAACAAUAUACCCCACUAACAGACAUGAAAUGUGACACCCCCCAAUGAUCACUUUUAUGAUUAAAAGUAGCCAGAAGAAGAAGUGGAGAAUGAAAGGUUAAUAAUCUUGAGAACUGUUUGCUAAACUUGUUCCCAGAAUGUGCUAUCCCCAACUGCCAAACUGCAGAAUGUACUCCCUGCCCACUCGCCCUGACCCGUCAAUGAACUUCCCUCCCUGCCCUCUCCAAGGAAAGUGUGGUAAAUGUGUUCAUAUCUUUCAGGCAUACAAGUCUUUAAGGUAAAAGGUUUAAAGAAACAUUUUAUCAAGCUGGUAUUCUCCAAACUAAAAUUGUCUGUAAUGGUAAUUUAAACUUAUAAAGAUAAUAGAUUUUAUUGGGGAUUUAUUUAUAUUAUUUGAUGUUUUGUAACCAAAUAUUAUGUUACCUUUAACACUAAAAUAUAAAAAUUUAAAGAUAUUUUAAAAAGUAAUGAGAGCCUAACCUAUUUAAAGAUUAGUAUCAUAAAACAUUUUCACUUAACACAUAAAAAUAUUAAGGGCUCUCAGCCUUUCCUUAAUUAAUGUUCCAGAUUAUGUCAUAUUGUGCUACUAUCAUUCAUACAGACUCAGGAAACAAUAUAUGUAAACUUUAUAAAAUGAUAUCUAAAAAGAGAGACAAAGAUCAACUUUAGAACUAAAACACUUUACCUAGGAUUUGUAAAGAGCCCUGCCUUAUUUGAGAUAUGGCUCUGCCUCCCACCUUACAGCAUGUCAAAAUAACUUCAAAGUAGGCCAGAUUUUAGUUAAUUUAAAGUUAUAUUCAAAGAUUAAUUUUAUUAAAAAGAUUA
rnacentral:lncRNA from 1 species